CACGCCGUAAACGAUGGAUGCUCGGCGUGUGGCGGCUAUCAACGCCGCUGGGCGCCUCAGCUGACGCGGAAGCAUCCCGCCUGGGAACUACGAGCGCAAGCUUAAAACUCAAAGGAAUUGACGGGGGCCCGCACAAGCAGCGGAGCGUGUGGUUUAAUUCGACGCAACACGCAGAACCUCACCCAGACUGGACAUGACACUGCAUGUGGCGGAAACGUCACAGCCUUCGAGGGAGUGUCACAGAUGC
rnacentral:rRNA from 1 species